rnacentral:lncRNA from 1 species
AGCGGCGAGCCGGAGCGCACGGCCCGGCCUUGACUGCCCCGCUCCCGAAUCUGGUUUUCAUAGAGCCGCGCAGUAAUUACCUAAAGCCGUAACUGUCUCCGAAAUUAUUCAUUAAAGUCAUUCCCGGGAAUCUAGCGUCGCGAGAGCCGGCAUUUAUGGCCUUUGCGCCCUCCGAGCGUGACAGCGUCUCUCGCCUUGCGUCCUCGGCGGCCGAGCGCUCAGCAUGGCGAAGAGGAAGGGGGAGACAGGGUUGCUCUCUCUCGCCUUCCCCUCGGUGUAUUUGUUUGCGGGGGCUCAGGCUGCUUUCCCCCUUUUGGCAAAGGAGCGCGAUGCAACCCGGCAGAUACCUUGGGAGCGAGGAGGGUAUUUUGGGGAGUUGCAGUGUUGUGCGGAAGAUCAUGUCUGUGCCCUGUGGUGCUGUCAGCAGUGACAGAUCCCAGAUGCCGUCGCUACUGUAUGGCAGAUUGAGUUUCUCAGCAGAAAACUCUCUCCCUCCCUCCCAAACGUCUUCAAAAACCUUCUCCAGAUACUGCGGGUCACUUCGGCUCAAACGGGGAGAGAAAGGGGGGAAAAAGGCUUUUCCUCUCUCCUCCCUCUCUCUUCCUCCCGCCGGAUCUCUCUGGGGUGCGCGGGGGGCCAUGACCGGGCCCUUGUGCGCCCGGGGGGCUGAGGGGUCCCCUCUCACCCCCGUCCUGCUGGGAGCCCGUCGCCGAGCCCGGGGACCGCCGUGCAGAAAGAGCCUGUCAUUUUAUCUCGGCGUUUCUCGGAACCGCUGAGCGAGCCAGACUCUGCGGCCGCUCCCGCCCUGCUCGGCGGAGCAGCCGCGGCCGGUGCCUUUCCCCUCCUCUGGCCAAGCGCAUCACCGGGAGUGCUCGGGGAAGAUUUGUACUUUUUUUUUUCCCAGAGAAGGGUUUUUCUCGCUGUGUCUUUUGCCUAAGCCAGGUAAGCGAUGCGAGGCUCGGUUCCCCUCCAGCGGCUCGCCCCGUACCGCUCCCUCCCGGGGAGCGCUUGGAGGCUCCUUCCUGGCGGGGCUUUCACCGCCCCGCUCUGGGUACCACCGCCCGGACCCGCCCUGGGCGAGCAGGAGGGCAGGGCGGCAGCGCCGGAGCCUGCAGCUGCUGCCUUCUCUCCCCGGGGCAGCACGGUCAGGGCGAGCGCAGGUUAGCAGGAGCUAACUCUUGGCCAUCCGCUGUCUUCUAUGGCGAGGAGAAACCAACUAUUAUUAUUAUUAUUAUUAUUAUUAUUCCUCCAUCAUCAUCAAUAUCGUUAGAAAAAUCGUUUUCAUUAUUAUCAUCAUCUUUAUUAUUCUUAUUUGUUUGGACCCGAGGUUUAAGAUUUUUUUCAAAUUUCCUCCCUAUCUCCCCCCCC